rnacentral:rRNA from 1 species
AACAAAAACAUGGCCUUUUGAGAUGGAAUUUAAGGUCGGGCCUGCCCACUGACGUAGUUGAAGGGCCGCGGUAUUUUGACCGUGCAAAGGUAGCAUAAUCAUUAGUCUUUUAAUUGAGGGCUGGAAUGAAUGGUUUGACGAAAUAUUAACUGUCUCUUUAUAAUAAAUGGAAUUUAACUUUUGAGUCAAAAGGCUUAAAUGAAUAUAAAAGACGAGAAGACCCUAUAGAUCUUUAUAUAGUUAAGUAAUUGUUUUAUUUGGUUGUUUUAUUUUCAAUUGUUUUGCUGUAUUUUGUUGGGGUGACAUGAAGACAAAAAUAACUCUUUAUAAUGGGAACAUUGAUUUAUGAGUGAUUGAUCCGUUAUUAACGAUUAUAAGAUAAAGUUACCUUAGGGAUAACAGCGUAAUUUUUUUUGAGAGUUCUUAUCGACAAGAAAGAUUGCGACCUCGAUGUUGGAUUAAGGAAUAUGAUUAGGUGUAGCAGUUUAAUUAAUAAGUCUGUUCGACUUUUAAAUCCUUACGUCAUCUGAGU